rnacentral:RNase_P_RNA from 1 species
UCAGGCGGCCGGAUGGCCGCCUCCCGCUCGGCGGGGGGAGGAAAGUCCGGGCUCCACGGGAACACGGUGCCGGGUAACGCCCGGCGGGGGCGACCCCAGGGAAAGUGCCACAGAAAGCAGACCGCCGGCCCGCUUCGCCGGCCGGCAAGGGUGAAAGGGUGCGGUAAGAGCGCACCGCGUCCCCGGCAACGGGGACGGCAGGGCAAACCCCACCGGGAGCAAGACCGAGUAGGGGCGGCACGGGGCUCCGGCCCCGGGCGGGUUUCCGCGCCGCCGCCCGGGUAGGUCGCGCGAGGCGCCCGGCGACGGGCGUCCCAGAUGAAUGGCCAUCCCCCGCCCCGGCGGGGACAGAACCCGGCUUACAGGCCGCCUGGCACC